rnacentral:rRNA from 1 species
UACGGGGAGCAAGCGUUGUUCGGAUUUACUGGGCGUAAAGGCGCGUAGGCGGCGCAACAAGUCACUUGUGAAAUCUCCGGCUUACCGGAGCGCCAAGUGAUACUGUCGUGCUAGAGUGCGGAAGGGCUACUGGAAUUCUCGGUGUAGCGGUGAAAUGCGUAGAUAUCGAGAGAACACCUGCGCGAAGCGGGUAGCUGGGCCGACACUGACGCUGAGGCGCGAAAGCCAGGGGGGGAGCGAACGGG